AUGGAGUCUCACUCUGUUGCCCAAGCUGGAGUUCAGUGACAGGCUGUCAGCUGACUGCAACAUCUGCCUCCUGGGUUCAAGCAAUUCUUCUGCCUCAGUCUCCCGAGUAGCUGGGAUUACAGGCAUGGACCACUGUGCUCGGCCUGUCUGUUUUCACAGACACAUCUCUACCUACUCAGCCAGGGGAUCCUUCUUCACAUCCAUGGUCUCCUUUGUUGCUGUACUCCUCAUAGACUUUACUCAUUUUUGUGUGUGUGGAUGAAAUUCUGGAGUCUAUACAAGAGGGAUAAAGUAACCUUCCUUGAAGUGUAUCAAUCCGUCACCAAUCAACUUGCCGCACCCUAUGCACUGGUCUUGAAUGGAAAAUGUGGUGAUUCUGCUAAAGCUUCUCCGUCUUUCCCUGCGUGUGAAACCUUAAUGUCUCGACUUGGGAACACGGGCCCCCUUCAUUUGGAGUUGGUGUCUCCAGGUGUCUAUCCUCAAGCUUUGUGUUCAAAUAAACUCUAUAAUUAAUCAUGUAUUCUAAAUUUUAUUAUUUACUGCUGACAUCAGUUUCUGUCGGAUUGUAGAAGCCUCACUAGAGAGGGCACCUGUUGCCAUGUUGUAAAACUCACACUUGUCAAAAAGACGUGGGUUAAAGUAUUUCCCCUCCUUCUGCAUGAAGCUAACUAGCUGACACAGAUGGUCACCUCCAUUACCAAGUAGAGCCGGGAUGAACUAUGUGUGACCAAGGGUGUUGUCAAGUCCUCUUCCCUGAGGACUGAUUUGUGUUUAUCUGGAAAACAUGUACUUAAUGGGUUGCACUGAAGUUUUUUCUCUUUUCAACCUCUCAGCUGUUUGCCUCUAUUUCCCAACACAUUCUGGUCUAAG